rnacentral:rRNA from 1 species
AUACGGAGGGUGCAAGCGUUAUCCGGAAUCAUUGGGUUUAAAGGGUCCGUAGGCGGGCUAUUAAGUCAGAGGUGAAAUCCCACAGCUCAACUGUGGAACUGCCUUUGAUACUGAUAGUCUCGAGUUACAGUGAAGUAGAUAGAAUAUGUAGUGUAGCGGUGAAAUGCAUAGAUAUUACAUAGAAUACCGAUUGCGAAGGCAGUCUACUAACUGUAUACUGACGCUGAUGGACGAAAGCGUGGGGAGCGAACAGGAUUAGAAGCCCUAGUAGUCC